GACGAACGCUGGCGGCGUGCCUUACACAUGCAAGUCGAACGGCAGCACGGGAGCAAUCCUGGUGGCGAGUGGCGAACGGGUGAGUAAUGUAUCGGAACGUGCCCAGUCGUGGGGGAUGACGUAGCGAAAGCUACGCUAAUACCGCAUACGAUCUAUGGAUGAAAGCGGGGGAUCGCAAGACCUCGCGCGAUUGGAGCGGACGAUAUCAGAUUAGGUAGUUGGUGAGGUAAAGGCUCACCAAGCCGACGAUCUGUAGCUGGUCUGAGAGGACGACCAGCCACACUGGGACUGAGACACGGCCCAGACUCCUACGGGAGGCAGCAGUGGGGAACUCUGGACAAUGGGCGCAAGCCUGAUCCAGCAAUGCCGCGUGCAGGAUGAUGGCCUUCGGGUUGUAAACUGCUUUUGUACGGAGCGAAACGGCUUCCACUAAUACUGGGGGCUAAUGACGGUACCGUAAGAAUAAGCACCGGCUAACUACGUGCCAGCCGCCGCCGUAA
rnacentral:rRNA from 1 species